rnacentral:rRNA from 1 species
AGAGUUCGAUCCUGGCUCAGAGCGAACGUUGGCGAUGCGUCUUAAGCAUGCAAGUCGAGCGGGCUUAUUCGGGCAACUGGAUAAGUUAGCGGCGAACUGGUGAGUAACACGUAGGUAAUCUGCCGUGAAGUGGGGGAUAACCCAUGGAAACAUGGACUAAUACCGCAUAUACUCUUGCUACAUAAGUAGAGUAGAGGAAAGUUUUUUCGCUUCACGAUGAGCCUGCGGCCUAUUAGCUAGUCGGUGAGGUAAAGGCCCACCAAGGCAACGAUAGGUAGCCGACCUGAGAGGGUGACCGGCCACAUUGGGACUGAGAUACGGCCCAG